rnacentral:rRNA from 1 species
CAGCAGCCGCGGUAAUACGUAGGGUGCAAGCGUUAAUCGGAAUUACUGGGCGUAAAGCGUGCGCAGGCGGUUUGUUAAGACAGAUGUGAAAUCCCCGGGCUCAACCUGGGAACUGCAUUUGUGACUGGCAAGCUAGAGUCUGGCAGAGGGGGGUGGAAUUCCGCGUGUAGCAGUGAAAUGCGUAGAUAUGCGGAGGAACACCGAUGGCGAAGGCAGCCCCCUGGGCCAGCACUGACGCUCAUGCACGAAAGCGUGGGGAGCAAACAGGAUUAGAUACCCCAGUAGUCCCUGUCUCUUAUAC